rnacentral:rRNA from 1 species
CAGCCGCCGCGGUAAAACGAAGGGGGCUAGCGUUGUUCGGAAUUACUGGGCGUAAAGCGCGCGCAGGCGGUUUUCCAAGUCAGUGGUGAAAGCCCGGAGCUCAACUCCGGAACUGCCAUUGAAACUGUUAAACUUGAGGACGAGAGAGGUGAGUGGAAUUCCCAGUGUGGAGGCGAAAUUCGUAGAUAUUGGGAAGAACACCGGUGGCGAAGGCGGCUCACUGGCUCGUAUCUGACGCUCAGGCGCGAUAGCGUGGGGAUCAAACAGGAUUAGAUACCCCCGUAGUCCCUGUCUCUUAUAC